rnacentral:rRNA from 1 species
GAUGAACGCUAGCGGCAGGCCUAAUACAUGCAAGUCGAGGGGUAGAGGUUGCUUGCAACCUUGAGACCGGCGCACGGGUGCGUAACGCGUAUGCAACCUACCUUGAUCUGGGGGAUAGCCCGAAGAAAUUCGGAUUAACACCGCAUAAAAUCACAGUACCGCAUGGUACAAUGAUCAAAUAUUUAUAGGAUUGAGAUGGG